AAAGAAAGCGUAAUAGCUCACUGGUCGAGUCGGCCUGCGCGGAAGAUGUAACGGGGCUAAACCAUGCACCGAAGCUGCGGCAGCGACGCUUAUGCGUUGUUGGGUAGGGGAGCGUUCUGUAAGCCUGCGAAGGUGUGCUGUGAGGCACGCUGGAGGUAUCAGAAGUGCGAAUGCUGACAUAAGUAACGAUAAAGCGGGUGAAAAGCCCGCUCGCCGGAAGACCAAGGGUUCCUGUCCAACGUUAAUCGGGGCAGGGUGAGUCGACCCCUAAGGCGAGGCCGAAAGGCGUAGUCGAUGGGAAACAGGUUAAUAUUCCUGUACUUGGUGUUACUGCGAAGGGGGGACGGAGAAGGCUAUGUUGGCCGGGCGACGGUUGUCCCGGUUUAAGCGUGUAGGCUGGUUUUCCAGGCAAAUCCGGAAAAUCAAGGCUGAGGCGUGAUGACGAGGCACUACGGUGCUGAAGCAACAAAUGCCCUGCUUCCAGGAAAAGCCUCUAAGCAUCAGGUAACAUCAAAUCGUACCCCAAACCGACACAGGUGGUCAGGUAGAGAAUACCAAGGCGCUUGAGAGAACUCGGGUGAAGGAACUAGGCAAAAUGGUGCCGUAACUUCGGGAGAAGGCACGCUGAUAUGUAGGUGAAGUCCCUCGCGGAUGGAGCUGAAAUCAGUCGAAGAUACCAGCUGGCUGCAACUGUUUAUUAAAAACACAGCACUGUGCAAACACGAAAGUGGACGUAUACGGUGUGACGCCUGCCCGGUGCCGGAAGGUUAAUUGAUGGGGUUAGCG
rnacentral:rRNA from 1 species